UUAAAUGAGAGUUUGAUCCUGGCUCAGGACGAACGCUGGCGGCGUGCCUAAUACAUGCAAGUCGAGCGAUGAUUAAAGAUAGCUUGCUAUUUUUAUGAAGAGCGGCGAACGGGUGAGUAACGCGUGGGAAAUCUGCCGAGUAGCGGGGGACAACGUUUGGAAACGAACGCUAAUACCGCAUAACAAUGAGAAUCGCAUGAUUCUUAUUUAAAAGAAGCAAUUGCUUCACUACUUGAUGAUCCCGCGUUGUAUUAGCUAGUUGGUAGUGUAAAGGACUACCAAGGCGAUGAUACAUAGCCGACCUGAGAGGGUGAUCGGCCACACUGGGACUGAGACACGGCCCAGACUCCUACGGGAGGCAGCAGUAGGGAAUCUUCGGCAAUGGACGAAAGUCUGACCGAGCAACGCCGCGUGAGUGAAGA
rnacentral:rRNA from 1 species